UGAGCAACCUGCCCUUGACUCUGGAAUAACAGUUGGAAACAGCUGCUAAUACCGGAUAUGACCUCUGACGACAUCGUCUGGAGGUGGAAAGCCCUGGCGGUCAAGGAUGGGCUCGCGGCCUAUCAGCUUGUUGGUGAGGUAAUGGCUUACCAAGGCGACGACGGGUAGCCGGCCUGAGAGGGUGACCGGCCACACUGGGACUGAGACACGGCCCAGACUCCUAGGAGGCG
rnacentral:rRNA from 1 species